CACGUAGGGGACGAGCGUUGUCCGGAUUCAUUGGGCGUAAAGCGCGCGUAGGCGGCUCGGCAAGUCGGUCGUGAAAUGCCGGGGCUCAACCCCGGGACUGCGUCCGAUACUCCCGAGCUGGAGGCAGGUAGGGGAGAUCGGAAUUCCUGGUGUAGCGGUGAAAUGCGCAGAUAUCAGGAGGAACACCGGUGGCGAAGGCGGAUCUCUGGGCCUUGACUGACGCUGAGGCGCGAAAGCUAGGGGAGCGAACAGG
rnacentral:rRNA from 1 species